rnacentral:rRNA from 1 species
UACGUAGGGUGCAAGCGUUGUCCGGAAUUAUUGGGCGUAAAGAGCUCGUAGGCGGUCUGUCGCGUCUGCUGUGAAAACUCGGGGCUUAACCCCGGGCCUGCAGUGGGUACGGGCAGACUAGAGUGCGGUAGGGGAGACUGGAAUUCCUGGUGUAGCGGUGAAAUGCGCAGAUAUCAGGAGGAACACCCGUGGCGAAGGCGGCUCGCUGGGACGGUACUGACGCUGAGACGCGAAAGCGUGGGGAGCGAACAGG